AGCCAGACUCCUACGGGAGGCAGCAGUGGGGAAUAUUGCACAAUGGGGGAAACCCUGAUGCAGCGACGCCGCGUGAGUGAAGAAGUAUCUCGGUACGUAAAGCUCUAUCAGCAGGGAAGAUAAUGACGGUACCUGACCAAGAAGCCCCGGCUAACUACGUGCCAGCAGCCGCGGUAAUACGUAGGGGGCAAGCGUUAUCCGGAUUUACUGGGUGUAAAGGGAGCGUAGACGGCAGCACAAGUCUGGAGUGAAAGCCCGGGGCCCAACCCCGGAACUGCUCUGGAAACUGUGCGGCUAGAGUGCUGGAGGGGCAGGCGGAAUUCCUAGUGUAGCGGUGAAAUGCGUAGAUAUUAGGAGGAACACCAGUGGCGAAGGCGGCCUGCUGGACAGUAACUGACGUUGAGGCUCGAAAGCGUGGGGAGCAAACAGGAUUAGAUACCCCAGUAGC
rnacentral:rRNA from 1 species